GAUGAACGCUGGCGGCGUGCCUAAUACAUGCAAGUCGAGCGAACAGAUGAGGAGCUUGCUCCUCUGACGUUAGCGGCGGACGGGUGAGUAACACGUGGAUAACCUACCUAUAAGACUGGGAUAACUUCGGGAAACCGGAGCUAAUACCGGAUAAUACAUUGAACCGCAUGGUUCAAUAGUGAAAGACGGUUUUGCUGUCACUUAUAGAUGGAUCCGCGCCGCAUUAGCUAGUUGGUAAGGUAACGGCUUACCAAGGCAACGAUGCGUAGCCGACCUGAGAGGGUGAUCGGCCACACUGGAACUGAGACACGGUCCAGACUCCUACGGGAGGCAGCAGUAGGGAAUCUUCCGCAAUGGGCGAAAGCCUGACGGAGCAACGCCGCGUGAGUGAUGAAGGUCUUCGGAUCGUAAAACUCUGUUAUUAGGGAAGAACAAAUGUGUAAGUAACUAUGCACGUCUUGACGGUACCUAAUCAGAAAGCCACGGCUAACUACGUG
rnacentral:rRNA from 1 species